AGCGUCGCACCUGUUGGCAACAGCUUGUUUUUAUAGGACAUCGAAAAUCGAUGGUCCGACGUUGCUCCGCUUUCGGUUAAUUUACGGCAGGCUCUCGCGUAGACUCGAGUCCCGAGAGUCCGAAGAUACGUGUGCGGUAGUUGCCGCGAACGCGAACGGGCAAAGUCCGGACGCGAUAACCGGCACCUCGACCUCGAACGCGCUCGAUUUAGACUCGGACACGCCGAAAACUAUCCGAAAAAUAGUUCCGACGCGGCGUCUGGCCAUGGUCGGCGGUCACGGGCUUGGAAAGGCGGAGAGGCGCCUUCUCGCGAUAGGGCCCCGUUCCGUUGGACCGCUCGACGCGCCUCGGCUUCUGGUCCAAAACCGUCGACGAUAGCGUUACCUUUACCGAUUCUAUCCGGUGAAAAUUUCCGACGCGCGACAUCGUCGGUCGAUACGCAGGGCGACCCAAAGGUUUCUCGAAAUCGGGAAACGAGGGGUUCCCUGGGUCGUACGAGUUAUCGACGAAAAACACCGACCAACGACGAGAGACGAAGAAACGAAAGUCCAGCGUUUUCGAGUUGGCAAAACGAAGCGGACAAAUAUCGUCCGGUGUACGUAGAAAACUCGACGAAAUAAACAAGAUUCCCCAGGGGUGGGAAUUUUGCUUGCCUCUGUUCUCUUCGUUCCUAGCAAUAUACGUGGCUGGAAUCCUUUCGUAAUCAAAGAUAAUGGUCGAGGUCGACGUUGCACCGAGGUCGAGGCGCGCGAAAAAGACGGCGGUUACGAUCGCGAUCGCGGAUGCUCACCUGAUUGGCGUGCACGGUCAGAAGAACAGCGGCGGAGACGAGUGCGCUCGAGCUCGAGAGCCCCGAAUUAGGAGGAACGUUUCCCCAAACUGCAGCCAACAUUCCCGAAGGAACGACCUCCUCCGGCAUCACCUCGAGGGCACCCUUCACACCGCAGAGGAAAUAUUUGUACCAGUCCGGGCCACCGCCGGCAUCCUCGAUGCAGGCGCUGUAAAAAAUUAUGAAUUUCGGUCACCUCCGGUCGCUUCCGCUCUCGCUUCGCUAUUUUACAGGUCCGGAUUUCCGCUCGAUCGAUCGCCGAUCGCUGGUCUACGAUCAGUCUACCCGUCGAACAUCGGAACGACGCGUCCACGUCUUUCCGCGUAUUUCUCGAAUUUUCCUUCAACGCGCACCCGCGGCAUCGUUCGAUUUUGCAAUUUUUAACGAAGCAUCUUUACGAGGGAAAUCGUUGUAACUUGAAAAAUCUGACAAAUCCGACAAAUCCGAAGAAAUCCGAUACGAAAUCCUUCGUUUUGGUAGAACAGUGCUCCGGAAUAGCGCCAAUAUCGAGGUAACGUACAUUUCUUCGAAAUCGAAAUAGUAAGAUUAAACAAUUUUCUCUCAAUUAUAUCGAAUUAUUUGCAAUUAUUUCGAAUUCUCGCGAUCUCGACUACUCGCGAUCGCUGUGUAAUUCAUUGUAAAAAGCAGUCGUUGAGGUAAAUCGAUUUAAAAAAGCAGAACGACUCUCGGUGGCAAAACAUUUUUUACAAUUUUAUGGAGAUGCGGUGGCAAUCGAGAAUUAUUAACCGUACAACGAAGUCGUGAAUACGGCCGAUCACCGGUUUGUAACGGUACCACGUUCGAUCGAAGAUCGAGCAAUGCAAAACGAACGGUCUCGUUCGUAUCCGAGUGUACCCGACCGCGCGACCCGACCGUGUUCGAGCGCGCGCGGCAGAACGAAAAGCCAGAGCCUGUGUUUUAGCGUCGUUCGUUACAGACGAGGUAAACGUUUUAAACAUACUCGAGGAACGUUCUUCGGAGAAUGCCCUUUACGACGCGACAUUUCCGAGCACCAUAGUCGCGUGUAUACCUCGCAGCGUAAAACCAGAGCUAACUCGUAAAAAUCGAUGGAACGUAUACAUGUAUCUACCCUUUGCAUUCCCGUUUCUACCAACAACAGUUUUCAUCCACGUCUACGCUAUACAAAUCGUUCCGCGUCAAAAUCAUCGAGAGUCCAAAUAAAACUCGAUUUCGAAUAGUUCACACGCUUA